rnacentral:rRNA from 1 species
AUUGAACGCUGGCGGCAGGCCUAACACAUGCAAGUCGAACGGUAGCACAGAGAGCUCGCUCUCGGGUGACGAGUGGCGGACGGGUGAGUAAUGUCUGGGAAACUGCCUGAUGGAGGGGGAUAACUACUGGAAACGGUAGCUAAUACCGCAUAACGUCGCAAGACCAAAGAGGGGGACCUUCGGGCCUCUUGCCAUCAGAUGUGCCCAGAUGGGAUUAGCUAGUAGGUGGGGUAACGGCUCACCUAGGCGACGGUCCCUAGCUGGUCUGAGAGGAUGACCAGCCACACUGGAACUGAGACACGGUCCAGACUCCGACGGGAGGCAGCAGUGGGGAAUAUUGCACAAUGGGCGCAAGCCUGAUGCAGCCAUGCCGCGUGUAUGAAGAAGGCCUUCGGGUUGUAAAGUACUUUCAGCGGGGAGGAAGGCGGUGAGGUUAAUAACCUCAUCGAUUGACGUUACCCGCAGAAGAAGCACCGGCUAACUCUGUGCCAGCAGCCGCGGUAA